UCUCCACCCCCCCUCUCUCUCUCUCUAAAGUUCUGGCAUCACCCCCCGCCGUGUGAUCCGCUCCUUCUUGGAGUAUUUUAUUAGUAUUAGUACUACUCCGUAACAAACAAAAAACGACAAGCGUGCGUUUGGAUAGGGAACGAUUUCUAUUCCGCCGCCGCCCUCGCCAAAGGAAUCUCCCCAUCAGUUUUCAGUUUCACUCCCUCAAACCCUACCCGUCUCUCUUCACUCUUCCCUUCCCCGGCGGAUUGACCUGAGAGAGAGAGAGAGAGAGAGAGAGGGAGGGAGAGGGAGAAGGAGAAGAAUGAGAACAAAAAAAGAAAAGAAAAGAGGGUGAAGUGAUUGACUUGAGAAAAAAACCCUAAUUCUCGUAUGAAUAUGGGUAUGUUUCGAGAGAGAGAGAGAGAAGCGAAAGGGAGAGAGAGAGAGAGUGGGUGGGUGGGGGGUUUUGCCUGUUAAGAUUGACAGAAGAGAGUGAGCACACACUGCUGGCAAUUGUAUAGAAGAGGUAUACUAUUGUGUGGUGCGUGCUCACUUCUCUUCUGUCAGUUUUUCUCCGCCUGUGCUGGACUCUCCUCCUGCUCAUCAUUACUCUCUCUCUCUCUCUCUCUGAAUUUCUCUCGAAGAUGGUCUCUCUCUCUCUCUCUAUGGAUUUCUCUCGAAGAUGGGAUCAUGGUGGGACUGACAAUUGGAUAUAUACAACACACUACCACCACACCCACCGAAGUCGUUUAUUUGUUUCCCUACUUUUUCUUUUUUUUUAAUCAUUGAUUCAUUAUAUUUAUUUAUCUCUAUAGUACAUAUUUAACAUUCCUGUGUCUGUAAAAAUACUACUACUAUUUCUAUUCCUUAUUUUUAUUAUAUAAAAUUCUGUGGCUGUUUGAGAUGUGAAGCGUGACUUUUGAUGCGUCAAUGUUGGUGUUGGACAGGAGGAAGUGGGGUUUUGAACUUUGAAGGUACGCCUUGUUACUGUUCUGAUUCCAUGGAAAACUGUGAAAUUUUUUUCCUCUCUUUUCCCCCAUUCUUAUCUUGUGUGGGUAUUUAUUUAUUUUCCCUUUUUAGGAGUAUUUUUCUUCUGAUUCUUCUUUCAUUUCACCACCAUGAUGGAAUUGGUAUGAUUUCCCAAUUCCCAUGCCUUUCUUCUCCUCCUUUUUUUGAGCCCGGAAUUUUUGUAUAAUCUGCUGAGCCUGCGAGAGACUUCUGUUUGUGAUAUUCCUUCAAAACCUGUGUUUCAAUCAAGUAAACAAACAAACUCCCUCAAUGUAAUUUUUACUUGUUCUUGGAGGCCCAUAUUUGACUCAAAAUGGACGUAUUUUUCAGCAAAUGAAAAAAAAGGAGAGAGCGUGUGUUCAUGAGAAGCAUCUUUUUGACGAAUUAGUUGUUAUUUACUGAAUGCUUCAUUAAUUUUUUUUAUGUUAUGCUAUCUAGAACUCUUGGUGGAAGGAGAGAGGAAGAAGAUCCUUUUGGGAAGGUUUGGAUGCUUCACUCAUGACUAUGGACGAAGAAGAAAUCUUCGAUUAUACAGCUAAAAGAAAUUGGAAGAAAUGGAUAUAACAGGUCUGGGUAUAAGAUCCAAGCAUGACUUCAAAUGCUGAUUCGGGAAGCAUCCAGUUUACACAGAAGCAAUUACUUAUUCCAAUCAAGCAUCUCAUAUAUAUGAUAGAAACCAUAGACUAUCUGCAAAUGGUCUUAUAUGACAAGGUAUACGAGGUUUUAUGUUUUCUUAGGCUGCUGGAGUCAGUUGCAAUUUUUUUAGUCUUCUACCAUGGUGCAAGCAUUUUGUGAAAUGAACUCAUGAUUGUUAUAAUUGUUAAAUCAAAUCUGGGAGUGAACAUGAAGAUGGUGAAGUGAGGUUGACACGUAUUGUUGUUCAGAGAAAAAGGUUGACACACCUUGCAUGAGUGAGAUUGUGAUGGAGCGGAACCGUAGUGAUGUUGUUGACAUCUAAGAAGCACUAACUUGGACUCAAGAAAUGGGCUAGCCAUGACACUAACAAGUUGGCACGAUAAUGUCAGGAAAAGCCUAGAAACCAUGAUGCGGGGACACAGUAAAUAAUGUAUAGUACAUGCUUUCAUUGGACUGAUAACCGAUUGAUCUUUGGCAUUUAAAAUAACUUAAAAAUUAUCGUACCACAAUGGCAAGGAAUCAUUUUUACAUUCUACCUACUCAGGAAGAGGAUUAGUAAUGAUAAAUUAUACUUAUUUCAACCAUUUUGGUAAAAGAAUUAUUUGGUAACCAUUUGAUCACAAGUUGUUAGUUUCCCAACUUGUAAUGUUUUCGUACAAGUGUUAAGUAAUGGAACAUGUGCCCCCCAUGUGUUUGAAGCAUGGUAAUUGGAUUCUAUAAUGUAGAAAUAAGAUAUGGACACAUGUUUGGGCAAAUACGUGACACGUGUCCGGGAGUGCUUAACAUGUACACAUCCGCCCUCUUAGAUGUCAUUUCCUCUAUCAUGUAUCAUGAAGAAAACAUGAGUUUUCUGUCCUAAAUAUUUUUUUGCGCUAGAAUUUUUUUAGUGGAAGAGUUCCUUUAGGAAGAAGAACGUUUAGAGGAAUUCAGUGCUCAUGGGAGACUACAUAUAGGGUAUCAAUUGUGGAGCUCGUUUUGCAGGUCCGGGUUUCUUUUUGGUAAAAAUUUUGCGGUUAAAGCGUAUUGAAAUUGAUAGGGAGUUUCCUUUAUUAUGGAAGCAUAUGUCAAAGCUAUUGUAACAAGUCAUUAUUCUGUUCGAAAGCAAAUUUCCAAAUUUAUAUGCAUCAGUACUUGUUUUUUGGCAGUCAAUAUUUUGAAGGAGCGCAAUGUAAACUGGAAUGCGCGGCGUUGAAGUUUAUUCCUUCAAAGUAGUGUUCGGGAGUCAAAGUGCAUUUUCAGUUCUGUAAACACCGUGGCAAUAUCUUGGAAAUUUCACUCUCUCCAAGUUGUGCUAAGAAGUGCCUAAAGACGAAGUUUGUUUUCUGGCCUGGUAAGCUACUGACUAAUUACUCGAGUCUGUGCUUGUGCUUCACUGUGACUGUUACCCUUCUAAACCUUCGUCAGAUGGUCGGAUUAUGCGGUUAGGGUUAUUCGGUCAUCUUGAUUUUUUCGGUAGGGAUAUUGGUAUAAAAAUUCAUAUGAAAGACAGUGCUGGGAUGUUUUAGGUACAAGGGUGGUUAAAUGAAUUUUAAAAAAAAUAUAGGUAAGCCAUUUGGUGUACAUGAUGCUCUAGAUAGCAUUCAUCUGGUAAGUCUACAUGAUGCUCUACAAAUGAUUUGUUUGAUGAAUUAUGCUGCUCUAGAUUGUAUUCAUUAACUAGUCGAUGGUGGAUACAUGAUUUAAGCUUGUUAAGUUUUCCAAACAAGUUGAAACCUUUGGUAUGGGGGUUCGGCUCUCACCUUCGUGUUAUCAAAAUUUAUGUUGGGACGGUCGAUACGGGACUUUAUCUUAGCUUCAAUUAGACCUUUGCAAGUGAACUGUGGGAUUGGUCACCGGAUUAGUCGGUUCAUUUGACGGAUACCGAAUCGUCGGAAAGUUUUGAAACAAGCUUGACUUGGCUCGUUUGUAGUCUUCACGAUACCACCUAAUUAAGUAGAGUAUACUCAAGAAAGAAGCCCGGAUAACGGGAGGAGAAUUAAUCAAUCCUCUCAAUUGAGAUUAGAUUCCUUAACAACUUAAUUAUGGAGAUUUAUUAUCUUGAUUAUAAUUUGAAAAAAAAAAAAGAGCCAAUAAUAGUGUCCGGUGGUUGGGGGAGGUUUGUCAAAUCAUCUUGUAACGUUCCAAUUAUUGUGGAUUUGAUUGCUAAUGUUUUAUAUCUUGAGGCCCUACAUGUAAUAAAAUUAAACAAAUGGAGAGAGAAUUGAAAAAUGGCCACAAAUCUGAAUAUUAUCUUUCCCCAGAUACAUACAUUAGGAAGAAAAGAAGCAUUUGUCAACCAUUUAAUCCAAUCUUAAAAUUUUGUUUCUUGUUAAGCCUGAUGUAUCGUUUCUUAAUUAAUGUCUGAUUAAGUGGUAGUAUCUAUUUAAUGCAAUCUUUAAAAUUUUGUUGAGUUUUGCUUUUUUGAUUACUGUUUUACUGACUCAGUUACUUUUUUUUAUUUUUUAAAAUUUCUGGUUUUGACCCAAUAAGUGAAAGCCCGAAAUAGCAAGUUAAAACCUAUCACAAACAAUAAGAUUAAUUUAGUUCUUUAGGACAAUAAACGAGAGACUUACCAUUUCCGUUGUACCAAAAAAAGAGUAAAUAAAUGAGAGACUGAAAAGGAAGGUACCUCGAAACAAAAAGAAGGAAGUCUAGCAUCAGUCCAUCGGUAUUAUUGAGUGAUAGUUCUACCGACCGGCCCAGAUGCUGAUGACUACCUUAGCGUACGAUGCUUGGGGCCUACAAAAGCUCUUGUUAGCUCCAUCCCUUCACUAAAAAUACAAUUUAGUCCGUUUAGUUUGACGAAAUGACUUCUCUUCCCUUGGGUAUGGUUCAAGUUUUAUUGCUUAAUUAACAACUUUUGUACUACUAAAUAAGCUGUUCUUCGUUUCUGAAUUCGUAGACGAAAAUUGAACAAAGAGAAUUAUGUAGCAAGCAAUUUUUCUUUUCCUCUUUUUUGGUUGUGUUAGAUUGGAAAACAUUUCUUCAUUCGUUGGCCGGAAUAUAUAAGGUGGUCCACGGCCAUAGAAAAUUCAAAUUUAUACGGCUAGCUAUAUUUACUUUCUCGAAAAAUGAUUAAUCAUUGCAUUAUUUUUCCCUUGCCCGACGAACUUAAGACCACUUCAAGUGAAUUGGGAAAAUUUUCAGCAUGUGUGUGGAGCCGA